GACGAACCGUGCGAACGUUGUUCGGAAUCACUGGGCUUAAAGGGCGCGUAGGCGGGCUGUCAAGUCUGGGGUGAAAUGCUGCGGCUCAACCGUAGAACUGCCUUAGAUACUGACGGCCUUGAGGAAGGUAGGGGCAUGCGGAACUGUAGGUGGAGCGGUGAAAUGCGUUGAUAUCUACAGGAACUCCGGUGGCGAAAGCGGCGUGCUGGACCUUUUCUGACGCUGAGGCGCGAAAGCUAGGGGAGCAAACGGG
rnacentral:rRNA from 1 species